rnacentral:rRNA from 1 species
UACGAAGGGGACUAGCGUUGUUCGGAAUCACUGGGCGUAAAGCGCACGUAGGCGGAUGUGUCAGUCAGGGGUGAAAUCCCGGGGCUCAACCUCGGAACUGCCUUUGAUACAGCACGUCUCGAGUCCGGAAGAGGUGGGUGGAAUUCCUAGUGUAGAGGUGAAAUUCGUAGAUAUCAAGCGGAACACCGGGUGGCGAAGGGCGGCCUUCUGGGACCAGUGAC